rnacentral:rRNA from 1 species
CGUGAGCGGCGGACGGGUGAGUAACGCGUGGGUAACCUGCCUCAUACAGGGGAUAACAGUUAGAAAUGACUGCUAAUACCGCAUAAGACCACGGUACCGCAUGGUACAGUGGUAAAAACUCCGGUGGUAUGAGAUGGACCCGCGUCUGAUUAGGUAGUUGGUGGGGUAACGGCCUACCAAGCCGACGAUCAGUAGCCGACCUGAGAGGGUGACCGGCCACAUUGGGACUGAGACACGGCCCAG